rnacentral:sRNA from 1 species
UAUCUCUCCGUACGGGGAAGGAUGAGAAGCUUCGACUAAGGUUCGAUUCGAGCGCAGCGAGAAAGCGUUGCCGCAGGCAACGACCCGAAGGGCGAAGCGCGCAGCGC